rnacentral:rRNA from 1 species
GAUGAACGCUAGCGGCAGGCUUAAUACAUGCAAGUCGAGGGGCAUCACGGGUAGCAAUACUUGGUGGCGACCGGCGCACGGGUGCGUAACACGUAUACAACCUACCUAUAGCAGGGGGAUAGCCUUUCGAAAGAGAGAUUAAUACCACGUAAUAAAUUGAGUGGCAUCACUUGAUUUUGAAAGCUGCGGCGGUUAUAGAUGGGUAUGCGUCUGAUUAGCUAGUUGGUGAGGUAACGGCUCACCAAGGCGACGAUCAGUAGGGGAUCUGAGAGGACUACCCCCCACACUGGUACUGAGACACGGACCAGACUCCUACGGGAGGCAGCAGUAAGGAAUAUUGGACAAUGGGCGAGAGCCUGAUCCAGCCAUGCCGCGUGCAGGAAGACGGCCCUAUGGGUUGUAAACUGCUUUUGUACCAGAGAAAACCUAUCUACGAGUAGAUAGCUGAUAGUAUGGUAAGAAUAAGCAUCGGCUAACUUCGUGCCAGCAGCCGCCGUAA